rnacentral:rRNA from 1 species
GUUCGGGACGGAUAAACGCUGAAAGCAUCUAAGCGUGAAACCAGCCUUGAGAUGAGGUUUCUCAUAGCAUAAGCUAGUAAGAUCCCAUGUAGACGACAUGGUUGAUAGGCCAGGUGUGGAAGAGCCGUGAGGUUUGGAGCUGACUGGUACUAAUAGAUCGAGGGCUUUACUUAAACA